UGCAAGUCGAGCGGACAGAAGGGAGCUUGCUCCCGGAUGUUAGCGGCGGACGGGUGAGUAACACGUGGGUAACCUGCCUGUAAGACUGGGAUAACUCCGGGAAACCGGAGCUAAUACCGGAUAGUUCCUUGAACCGCAUGGUUCAAGGAUGAAAGACGGUUUCGGCUGUCACUUACAGAUGGACCCGCGGCGCAUUAGCUAGUUGGUGAGGUAACGGCUCACCAAGGCGACGAUGCGUAGCCGACCUGAGAGGGUGAUCGGCCACACUGGGACUGAGACACGGCCCAGACUCCUACGGGAGGCAGCAGUAGGGAAUCUUCCGCAAUGGACGAAAGUCUGACGGAGCAACGCCGCGUGAGUGAUGAAGGUUUUCGGAUCGUAAAGCUCUGUUGUUAGGGAAGAACAAGUGCAAGAGUAACUGCUUGCACCUUGACGGUACCUAACCAGAAAGCCACGGCUAACUACGUGCCAGCAGCCGCGGUAAUACGUAGGUGGCAAGCGUUGUCCGGAAUUAUUGGGCGUAAAGGGCUCGCAGGCGGUUUCUUAAGUCUGAUGUGAAAGCCCCCGGCUCAACCGGGGAGGGUCAUUGGAAACUGGGAAACUUGAGUGCAGAAGAGGAGAGUGGAAUUCCACGUGUAGCGGUGAAAUGCGUAGAGAUGUGGAGGAACACCAGUGGCGAA
rnacentral:rRNA from 1 species